rnacentral:rRNA from 1 species
CUGGAUUCGCUAGUAAUCGCGCAUCAGCCACGGCGCGGUGAAUACGUUCCCGGGCCUUGUACACACCGCCCGUCAAGCCAUGGGAGCCGGGGGUACCUGAAGUGCGUAACCGCGAGGAGCGCCCUAGGGUAAAACUGGUGACUGGGGCUAAGUCGUAACAAGGUACC